rnacentral:lncRNA from 1 species
AGACUGUGAUUAACCUUGACACAUAGGCUCUUCUCCAAAAAAAACCUCAGGCUACAGACUCCCCGUCUGCUUCACUCCAUUAACGCACAGCCCUGGCAGCCAGGAGGCAGGUUUUGCGCGGAGCUACUCUGCAAGUCCGGGGCAAGAUUACAAAGGUGGAAUGGCUUGGGGUGCGUGUAUCGCCUCUGCGAAAAAGCUGUUUUGUUUUGUGCAGUUCCAAGUCCUGCUACACUAUGAUUAAUUAACUUGGCCAAGAAUUAAUUUUUUUAAAUUAGGAAUGAUUUGAAUCCUUCCUCCAGGCCCAGUCACUGGGGCUGAGAAGAGAGAACUUCCCGUGUCGCAUUCCAGCGCUCUUCUCGUCUUCUCUGGGCUGAGUGACAGUGCUAGAGAACGACUGCUAGCUGUCUGCUGGCACUACACACACCUUCCUCGACGAUGCCCGGCCGCCGAGACAUGCAGGCUUCUGCAAAUGGUUCUCAUCGCUCAUGCAAGAGUAUGCCAGGGAUGAGGUCACAGUACACAAAGGAGCUGCUAAGAGCUGCAGUUGUAGGUGCGGGCUGCGCUUACCAAGAGCCAUGGACGCUGAUAACCAGCCAGCACUGCACCCAGCGCUCGCGAAAACAGGGACAGUUGGCACAUGCUGUCGUAGAUUCUCCCUCCACCUGGAACCUUUAAAUGUCUUCGUGACCGACCCCUUCUGCCCACGUUGCCCCUUUCAGCGUCAGGCAGAUGGCAAGGAUUCAACGCCCAUGUGCAGAAUGAAGAGCUGCUUAAGAACAAGAUCUCGGAGCUGGGGAUUUAGCUCAGCAGCACAGCGCCUGCCUGGCAAGCGUGAGGAUCUGCACAAUGGUUCCCAACAGCCUGAUCCUAACAAACUUUCAAGCACGUACACUUCAAGAAUAAUAUAUCCUUCUCAGAGUUACACCACUGAAAGGUGUUCCUUCAACAACAGAAAGAUUUAUUAGUUUCUUCUCCCACAGAAAAACCACAGAAAUAUUUCCUUCUCAACUGCCCCAGCAAGUUCCAGAUUUCAUUAAAGAACCUGCCAGAUGCUUCCUCCUAGCCUGUGUGGGAAGAAAUUAAGAUAAAGAGCAUUUGAAAUUCUACCUCUGCACACCUGCCUCGUACCUUAUUCCCUUCUGGCAGAUCUUCUUCCUCUGUUUCCAAGGUCAGAGCUGUGUGACCUGCCUCCCCAGGCAGCUGGGGCUCUCGGUCCUCCCAGCCCCUCUCCGUCUGGUAUUAAUAAUAGAUGGCUUUUACUGAAUUGUGCACCUGCCAUUAGCCAAGCAUUGCACUUUACAAAGUGGUUCAAAUUCUUAACCCCCACCCCCAGUGGAAAAAAACUGUAAACUGAGUGUCUG